UACAGAGGGGGCAAGCGUUAUUCGGAAUUAUUGGGCGUAAAGGGCGCGUAGGCGGCUUUGCAAGUGACGGGUGAAAUCCCUCGGCUUAACCGAGGAACUGCCUGUCAAACUGCAUGGCUUGAGACCGGGAGAGGUGAGUGGAAUUCCCAGUGUAGAGGUGAAAUUCGUAGAUAUUCGCAAGAACACCAGUGGCGAAGGCGGCUCACUGGCCCGGUACUGACGCUGAGGCACGAAAGCGUGGGGAGCAAACAGG
rnacentral:rRNA from 1 species